GCAAGCAGCUUUCGUGCCACUAGCAUACGAAUGCCCUCUAUCACCUUUUACCGCGAACACAUAAAACAACAUAGGUUAAACAGCCUUUCUAGGACAACCAUGAGAUAUAUACAGUAAUAGUCUGAAGUGGCUAGGUUUGCCACAAUCUUACUCUGGGAGGGCACUACGACACUACUGGUACCAUAACCACUACAAAGUGCUGUAGUGGUUAUUGUGCCUGGAUUAUAU